CCUACGGGAGGCUGCAGUGAGGAAUAUUGGUCAAUGGACGAGAGUCUGAACCAGCCAAGUAGCGUGAAGGAUGACUGCCCUAUGGGUUGUAAACUUCUUUUAUAAAGGAAUAAAGUGAGGCACGUGUGCCAUUUUGUAUGUACCUUAUGAAUAAGGAUCGGCUAACUCCGUGCCAGCAGCCGCGGUAAUACGGAGGAUCCGAGCGUUAUCCGGAUUUAUUGGGUUUAAAGUGAGCGUAGAUGGGUUGUUAAGUCAGUUGUGAAAGUUUGCGGCUCAACCGUAAAAUUGCAUUUGAUACUGGCAGUCUAGAGUACAGGAGAGGUAGGCGGAAUUCGUGGUGUAGCGGUGAAAUGCUUAGAGAUCACGAAGAACUCUGAUUGCGAAGGCAGCUUACUAAACUGCCACUGACACUGAUGCGCGAAAGUGUGGGUAUCAAACAGGAUUAGAUACCCUAGUAGUC
rnacentral:rRNA from 1 species